GGAGGGGUGGCCGAGUGGUUGAAGGCGAUGGAUUCGAAAUCCAUUGUAGGUUUACGCUUACCGCGGGUUCGAAUCCCGCCUCCUCCGCCA
rnacentral:tRNA from 1 species